CUUCCCAGCAAUGGGUAAAGAGAUACCUUUUUGUUGGUGUUGUUCUUAUAUCAGUCAGGAGCAUAGCAGACAGCAGUCCUUUGUUCAUCAUAGUUUGAUGCCUGGCUUGAUGACCAAAGCUAUUUUAUGUUUACAACACAUUA